CAGUGCAGCAGUCUGUGGCUGUUGGUGAUGGCUUUAAUAACUGCACGAUUAGCUUGUGACUGCCUGUUUUCUGCCCAUCAGCACCCCAAGAGAAGUUGGUAUAGCUGACCCAAGGUCAUCUCCAGAGUAUCGUUUGCCAGCUUUUUCUGUACUCAUUCCACAGCUGAAUCUCUUGAGCCGAGAAAGAACAUGUAUCUGUGCCCCUUACAACAUGGCCUUGGGCAGUAGAAUGCAUCCCAUAUGGAACUUUAUGACUUCAGAGGUAUGUUGACUCUGUCCUAUUGAGGCGGGUGAAAAAAAUGAUGGCUGUGACAGAAAGGACAAGCUUCUUUCAAGUCUUUUUUUUAAAAAAGGCCUACCACCUCUGGCUAGGAAUAGAGGUGGCCAAGUGACAUCUGUGCUAACUGCAGUGGUUUUCACCACAAGGAUUCAGUUGUGCUUGAAGCCAUCGCUCUUUCUGGAUGAUGUAAAGACUCUGCAAAGCAUACUGAGGAGAACAUCAUAAAGAUUUUGGUCUUUGUGGUACUCCUUGUUUCUUCGUGGAAGAAUCCGAACCUUGACCAAAUACCGUGGGUUGUGCUCCACAUCUUGUGAGUCCUCGACUGUGGAUGUUCUCCUAGUACAACACAGGCCAAUGCAGAACAGGAUGGAGAGCUGUGAGCACAAUACAGUAAGAUGUGUUUGGACUAAUUGUGGAAGAAGUCACUUACAACGAUAAAAAGGAAGGAGUAACUACCACUGUUGCAAGUACAUGUGUUCUGUACUGGGACCUGGAAAUACAAUUGGGAGCCCAUGGGAA